CCAGGUUGAUUCUGCCUGACGUAGACGCUAUUCCCCAAGAUUAACCCAUGCAUGUUAUUGAUUUUUGAAAAAUGGACUGCUCAGUAAUACUCACUUUAUUUUAUGUAUACUUAUUAUAACUACGUUAAAGUGUAGAUAAAAUGUAUACAGUAAGAGUGAGACCUAUCAGCUAGUUGUUAAGGUAAUGGCUUAACAAGGCAGUGACGGGUAACGGUAUUACUUUGUAAUAUUCCGGAGAAGGAGCCUGAGAGACGGCUACUAAGUCUAAGGAUUGCAGCAGGGGCGAAACUUGACCUAUGGAUUUUAUCUGAGGCAGUUAUGGGAAGUAAUAUUAUAUUGUUUCAUAUUUUAAAAGUAUAUGAGGUGAUUAAUUGGAGGGCAAAUCAAGUGCCAGCAGCCGCGGUAAUACUUGUUCCAAGAGUGUGUAUGAUGAUUGAUGCAGUUAAAAAGUCCGUAGUUUAUUUUUAAGAAGCAAUAUGAGGUGUACUGUAUAGUUGGGAGAGAGAUGAAAUGUGACGACCCUGACUGGACGAACA
rnacentral:rRNA from 1 species